GACGUAGGGCGCGAGCGUUGUCCGGAUUUAUUGGGCGUAAAGAGCUCGUAGGCGGCUUGUUGCGUCGACUGUGAAAACCCGCGGCUUAACUGCGGGCUUGCAGUUGAUACGGGCAGGCUAGAGUUCGGUAGGGGAAACUGGAAUUCCUGGUGUAGCGGUGAAAUGCGCAGAUAUCAGGAGGAACACCGGUGGCGAAGGCGGGUCUCUGGGCCGAUACUGACGCUGAGGAGCGAAAGCGUGGGGAGCGAACAGG
rnacentral:rRNA from 1 species